UACAGAGGUGGCAAGCGUUGUUCGGAAUUACUGGGCGUAAAGGGCGCGUAGGCGGCCUUCUAAGUCAGACGUGAAAUCCCCAGGCUUAACUUGGGAACUGCGUCUGAUACUGGGAGGCUUGAAUGCGGGAGAGGGAUGUGGAAUUCCAGGUGUAGCGGUGAAAUGCGUAGAUAUCUGGAGGAACACCGGUGGCGAAGGCGGCUACCUGGACAGAGUCUGACGCUGAGGCACGAAAGCUAGGGGAGCAAACAGG
rnacentral:rRNA from 1 species